ACUGGAAAGCUGGUUUCACUCUGGCAGCGGCAGCGGCGACGUACGCACGUCAUUUAAUCAACUUAUCUGGAAUUUUGCAGAGGCCGCCGCUUCAUCUGAUUCCUGUAAGAGGAUCCGAACUGGGCCGUGGCUGCCUGUUUGUUUCUCAAGAAAACAGACUACGUGAGCAACUCACCGUUGUUCCAUUUGCCUUUACCAGGACCAGGACUGUUCUGCGUGUCCCGCCAUCUGCCUGACUGUACUGUAACUACAGCCUUCUGUCGCUUCUGUCUUGGGGGCGGUGUUUUCACUGGAAAGCUGGUUUCACUCUGGCAGCGGUAGCGGCGACGUACGCACGUCAUUUAAUCAACUUGUCUAGAUUUUUGCAGGGCAUUGAAUAAGAACGUGCAGGACUGUGAGGUUCUGGCCGCACUUACCACAAGUGGGAGGAUGCCCCCCAGUCAAGAGGCUUGACGUCAUGCACGACUACAUCUUGAUGCGAGUGUCCCUAUGUUUCCCCAAGACCUGGCCACAUCACAUCAACGCCUACAGCUGCGUCGUGUCAGAUGGGACAGCUGCGCACCCGGCCUCGUGUGUGGUACUAUACGAACGAGGAAAUGAGCGUGUGCCAUCAAGGAGCACCGGACGUAGACUUUGCCAACGUGUGCGCAGUGCGUAAGUCCGAGGCUAUUGUGGCUGUAUAAGUGUAGGUGUCGCCAGAUGCUCAACAUCGUAAGAUUGCGUACUUCCUGACAGAUACAUUCGUUCCUCAAGACGACGUGCCUCUAAUGGUUACGGGCAAUUUCAACGUGAAUACGAGGGAUUGCCAAAUUGCCUGGUUCGUACAGUGUAUGCAAGAAAACCUCGGCAUGGAAUCUGUUCCAAAUACACAAUGCAGCUUUUCGCGCACAGGUUCUUGUUUCGACUUUGUAUUUAGAGAUAUCAAAGUCCCUCACUAUGGCCCGCUGCA